rnacentral:rRNA from 1 species
UGGGGAAUAUUGGACAAUGGGCGCAAGCCUGAUCCAGCCAUGCCGCGUGAGUGAUGAAGGCCUUAGGGUUGUAAAGCUCUUUUGUCCGGGACGAUAAUGACGGUACCGGAAGAAUAAGCCCCGGCUAACUUCGUGCCAGCAGCCGCGGUAAUACGAAGGGGGCUAGCGUUGCUCGGAAUCACUGGGCGUAAAGGGCGCGUAGGCGGCCAUUCAAGUCGGGGGUGAAAGCCUGUGGCUCAACCACAGAAUUGCCUUCGAUACUGUUUGGCUUGAGUUUGGUAGAGGUUGGUGGAACUGCGAGUGUAGAGGUGAAAUUCGUAGAUAUUCGCAAGAACACCAGUGGCGAAGGCGGCCAACUGGACCAAUACUGACGCUGAGGCGCGAAAGCGUGGGGAGCAAACA